rnacentral:rRNA from 1 species
GAUGAACGCUGGCGGCGUGCUUAACACAUGCAAGUCGAACGGAAAGGCCCCAGCUUGCUGGGGUACUCGAGUGGCGAACGGGUGAGUAACACGUGGGUGAUCUGCCCUGCACUUUGGGAUAAGCUUGGGAAACUGGGUCUAAUACCGGAUAUGACCACUUCUUGGAUGUUGUGGUGGAAAGCUUUUGCGGUGUGGGAUGAGCCUGCGGCCUAUCAGCUUGUUGGUGGGGUAAUGGCCUACCAAGGCGGCGACGGGUAUCCGGCCUGAGAGGGGGUACGGACACAUUGGGACUGAGGUACGGCCUAGACUCCUACGGGAGGCAGCAGUGGGGAAUAUUGCACAAUGGGCGCAAGCCUGAUGCAGCGACGCCGCGUGGGGGAUGAAGGCCUUCGGGUUGUAAACUCCUUUCGCUAUCGACGAAGCCACUUGUGGUGACGGUAGGUAGAUAAGAAGCACCGGCUAACUACGUGCCAGCAGCCGCGGUAA